UUGACUCUUCUAAUGGAUUGCUUGUUCCACUGCAGUUAAACUUGAUGUUUAUUGUAUUUUAUCAGUUUAACACUGUUGAAGGCUAAUGAUAAUUUAUUCUGCAUUAUCUUAGUCAUAAUAUUUCUUACUGGGCUAGUUGAGCUCACCCUUUUCUUUCACUGUUCUCUUUUGGAAAUGAUAAUAUAGCUGGGACUGGUCGGGAAAUGAAUUGACGGUCCAGAUGGUUGUUUUAGUAGUCCUCACUAUUCUGUGAAAUAGUGUGAUAAUAAUUAUAAUGAGG
rnacentral:lncRNA from 1 species